rnacentral:lncRNA from 1 species
AAUAGAAGUUACAGUCAUCUUUGCUGUCUCCCCAACACAACACAAACCUACAAUGAGCCUACAGUGUUGUCCCCAGAGUUCCAUACCCAUGCAUCAGGGCGAGCCUGAUGAAGCCCUUGCGAUUCUUCAGCAGCAGCCUGUAGGCUCCAGGCCUGGCGUCCAGUGCCUCCUGCGCGCCCCCAACGAUGAUGGCAAGCAAGUUCCCGCCGCCCUUCCUGGACAGAAUGUGAUCGGCACUCACCUUUUCUGAUGAGACCAGCCCUGGGGAGAGAGCAAGAUGUCCACCAACAGGGCUUGUCUGGACAAACCGGGAAUGAGGCACACAAGGGACACUACAGCCAGAGAGGAUUAUGAAACAAGCUGAGAUCACAUGUCAAGUGAGCAGCCAGGAGCAGGACAGUGAGUGCAGGGCACGGCCACUGAGCAUGACUGCACCAAACACUGAUGCUCAGAGAUGCUCCCAAGGAUGGGACCUGGGGUGAUGAGUAUGUCCUAGACUAUCUAGCCAGUGAACCCUGUGGAUCCUCCCUGUCUCUGCCCCCUCAGUGAGAGGAUUACAGGUGGCCACUACACCUGGCAUUUUUACAUUUGUACUGGGCAUCAAAUUCAAGUUUUCAGGCUUUCAAGUGAGGCAAGUGCUUUACCUCCUCGGCCCUAGAAUGGAGUCUUUUUAUACCUGCUUUUCUGUCCUCCUGGAUUUUGAACAAGAACACAUUACUACUUUAAAUAAAUACAUGCACAAAUGAACAAUUGUACCCAUGACAGUAAAGCAUUUGCAUAGAGAGAAAUAUCCUGGCGAGCAUGGGGACCCUGUGAACUGACAUUUGCGUACGUAUUGACGUGCACACGUGCAAGUGUAUGCCCUGGAGGAUGGCCGUGGUCCCACUGAGUGCUGGUCUGAGCUUUCCCACAGGUGGUUCCUACUGGUAUCUUCUGUGCUACCCAGCCACUGUUCCCUGGGAAGACUGGAGGCUAUGUCUCCUAUGCAUCCUGUCUCCACAACACGACAGGACAGAGGAGAUGCCUCAGAAAGACUUUCCCUCAGACUGAGGGAAAGAAGGAAGGAAGCCAGCGGAAGAGGCUGAUGUGGCUUCCUCAGGAUGACGGCAUCUCCGACCCUAAUCCUGUCCUGACACACCACCUGGAUUCCACCGAGCUCGUGAGAGAGAGUAUCCUAAGCUAGGAGUCUAGAAGCUCACCUCAGGAUUCUGCCGGACCCUCCUCCUCCAUGCCUCAGCUGUUAACAGGGCGGUGGUAAUGCUUGCCUGACAGACUUGUUACAGGUUGCCAGGAGGAAGAAGAGGAGCGUUGGUGAAGUCCACCGGUCUCUCUGAAGCCCCCUCAGUUCUGCUAAAGCAGGGAAAGGCCAAGCAAAGUGUGGGUGUCCGGAGAAAUCUGGGCUGGGUGUCAGCCAGGUUGCUAGACUUUGGAGCGCCUCGGGUAUCCGUAUCACCUGCACACCAUAGUACCCAGUCUUUGAAAGUCUAUGGUUGAGUCAAGUGCACUUGGAAACAGCUGUGGAUUCUCACCACUGACCCCAAAGCACACUCCCGG